UACAGAGGGUGCAAACGUUGCUCGGAAUCAUUGGGCGUAAAGCGCACGUAGGCGGUCCAGCAAGUCGGGUGUAAAAGCCCAGGGCUCAACCCUGGAAGUGCAUUCGAAACUGCUGGACUUGAGUACCGGAGAGGGUGGCGGAAUUCCCGGUGUAGAGGUGAAAUUCGUAGAUAUCGGGAGGAACACCAGUGGCGAAGGCGGCCACCUGGACGGAUACUGACGCUGAGGUGCGAAAGCGUGGGGAGCAAACAGG
rnacentral:rRNA from 1 species